UCAGUUAGUACAGGGCUAACUACCUUCUGCACAGUUCCACAGGAAGAAUAAAGGAUUCGCUGUGGGUCUGAGAUCCCAUAUGGGGAGCAAUAAGCAUGGCAAAGAGUAUUGAUAGUUAGACCACGCCCCUUUCAUUCCCUGAAGCUAAAAUUCGGUGACGUGUAGUUGCUUAAACACAAGUGCGGGGAGAGGGUUAUAUGCCGGUUUAGGUUUGCCCCCCAAGACUCGCACUGUUUUAUUUGUGAUAGGCUACGUAACUACGGAAAAUGUUGGUCCAGAGAUCACGCUUACUCUCCAGGUUGUUCUCUUCGGCCGGAUGCAGGACCGCGACGAGAUGCAGUCGGGGUCUGUCCGGCGGAGCGCACAUCGUGACCUCCCCCGUGGAUGAUUUGGAACUCCCUUCGGGCAACCUGAUCAAUUACGUCUUCAAGACAUAUCAGAUGG
rnacentral:lncRNA from 1 species